AUAGAGGGUAGGGACUAGGGAAGGUAGGGGUUGCUCACAUCACAAUGCUGACUCAGACGCCGGUGGCUUGAGUCUGAUGGUGUUGUUUUCGGCACGACUCUUUAAACUGUACAUUUUUAUUUUUAUUUGUUUAUUUGUAAUAAUGUGCAAUGUGAAUUACAAAACUGUCCUGUACUUGUAAGAUAGAGUUUAGUUCUUUGACCAUACAUGGACCACUUUGACCCUAUCUUCUUCUACAAGGGGUAUUUUUGGUGUUUCGUCGUUCAUUUCAAUAUCAUUUUUGUUUGUUUUGAGCGUGUGUUUAGUUUCACUACAGCAACCCUUAAAACCGCGUCUCAAUGUUAUAUUUGCUGUGAAUUUAAGAAGUUGUGAUUCCUAAAUUGUGCUCGACACUCAAAUGUAUAGCAAUGGACACAUUUGAAAAUCACGACAACUCAUAAAACCGCGUCUCAAUGUUGUAUUAUUGUGUUUGCCGUGAAUUUGAGAAGUCAGAAUUCCUAACUUGUGCUAGACGGGUAAAUGUAUAACAAUUGACGUGAUUCCAAACAUAGGCAAAGUACGUAAAACACCAA
rnacentral:lncRNA from 1 species